GCCGACUUAGCUCAGUAGGUAGAGCAACUGACUUGUAAUCAGUAAGUCACAGUUCGAUUCCGGUAGUCGGCACCA
rnacentral:tRNA from 1 species